AGCGAACGUUUGCGGCGGGCUUAACACAUGCAAGUCGAACGAGAAUCCCUUCGGGGAGGAAAGUGGCGCACGGGUGCGUAACACGUGGAUAACCAACCCAUUGGUUUGGGACAACACCGGGAAACUGGUGCUAAUACCAGAUGUGUCGCAGCUGUCUUCAGGCGGUUGCGAGAAAGGCCCGCAAGGGUCGCCAACGGACGGGUCCGCGUCCCAUCAGCUAGUUGGUGAGGUAAUGGCUCACCAAGGCAAAGACGGGUAGCUGGUCUGAGAGGAUGAUCAGCCACACUGGAACUGAGACACGGUCCAGACUCCUACGGGAGGCAGCAGUGGGGAAUAUUGCGCAAUGGGCGAAAGCCUGACGCAGCCACGCCGCGUGAGCGAUGAAGGUCUUCGGAUCGUAAAGCUCUGUGGGGGAGAAGAAGAAAGCCGGUGAAGAGCCGGCCCUGACGGUAUCCCCUUACGCAAGCACCGGCUAACUCCGUGCCAGCAGCCGCGGU
rnacentral:rRNA from 1 species